rnacentral:rRNA from 1 species
UACGAGGGGGGCGAGCGUUGUUCGGAAUUAUUGGGCGUAAAGGGUGCGUAGGCGGUUGUGCAAGACAGAUGUGAAAUCCCCGGGCUCAACCUGGGAAUUGCAUUUGUGACUGCACGGCUAGAGUGUGUCAGAGGGGGGUAGAAUUCCACGUGUAGCAGUGAAAUGCGUAGAGAUGUGGAGGAAUACCGAUGGCGAAGGCAGCCCCCUGGGAUAACACUGACGCUCAUGCACGAAAGCGUGGGGAGCAAACAGG